rnacentral:lncRNA from 1 species
UCUUUGAUUACGAAUAAAAUGUACUUAUUAUUCUUAUAGCCCAAAAUAAUUUUAGACUCAAAAAAUAUGAAUCAAAUAUAAAUUUUGUAUGAAUUUGAUCCAAUAAAUUUUAGUGUCUACCGUACCAAUCUUUUUCUGGUGCUGCCUAGGGUUUGCUUGUUUUAUUUCAACAAAAAUUGUUUGCUGUGAGCUAUUGGCUUUCCGAUUCGGACGGUGAGUUGUUUUCACCCUAAUUUUUUCCUCAGCCUGCUACUUUAUUUUUUUGUCUCAUUUUUGUUUUUUUACUUUUUUUUUGGUUGGAUUGAAGACAAUUUGCUGCUCGUGCUGGUAGGGCUUUGUUUGGAUCAUCAACAAAACAAAUUAGGUAUAUGAACAAAUCAGCAAAAUUUAAUAUUUAGAAGAAUUUGUCCCCUUUUUUUAUUUUUUGAUUUUGAUUCUGCAGGGGAUACUGCCAGGAAGUCACUUCCACUUCUGAAAUACCACCUCGUAAUAUUGGUAAUUUAAUCACCCACUAAUUGUUGAAUUAUCCCUUAAAUUUUAUUUUUGUUAUAUUAAUAAUAACUCAAUUCACUCUUGUAUGGUCUCUUACAGUUAUUGCUUUUGUUGCUGGGGGACUAACAUCUUUUGCUGGGCUCUAUUAUGUGUAUGUACACCUCACUUCUUACUUUCAUCAUAGAAAAAUUUGUCUUUUACCCAUUUUUUUUGGCCUGAAAACCAAUUUAACACUAUGUUUGGAUGGUUGUUACGUAUUGUUUCAAAAUGCCUUGAAUUGUAUUGUGUUGUGUUGUAUUAUAUCUUACUGUAUUGUUUUAAUGAAUAAACCAUUUUGAUACAUUGUAGCGUUUUUCAUCGUUUCAUAAUCUCACACAUAGCAAUUUGUAGAAUAAAUCUAAAAGAAAAGUAGGGUACGGGGUAGGAUAAAGGAAAAAAUUCAACAACAACAUACCCAAUGUAUUCCCACAUAGUGGGGUCUGGAAUAAAGGAUAAAAUAGCAUUAUUAAAUAAUAAGUAAAGAUAAUAUGAGAGAAAAAGAUAAGGUAACUUUUCGUCACAAAUAACAAAACAAUAUGUAACAAUCAUCCAAACAUACACUUUAAUUAGCAAAGAAAAAACGAACCAGGGUAAGAGGAAAAAAUCAAUAAGUAGGUGUAAGUGAUAUUCAGAGUUGGAUCUGAUUUUGUUUCUUGACCACAUUUAUUUUCUUGUUUAUAUAAAUAGUCUACAUGGCCUCUAAGAUUAGUUCUUUUGCAGGGAUGUUUUCUUUCCUCUCGUCUAAUUUCUGAAUUUAUUAUUUUGGCAGGUUUGGCUCUAAACUGGAAGAACUCCAGGCAAAGUAAGUUGUAACUUUUUGGUUUAUUUUGCACUAAUUGAUGGAUAGUUUACUGUCUCUGGUAUCUAGUAGAUUAGUGUGUUAUUUACCCCCUCUCCCCUGCAUCAGUUCUUAAAAUAAUUAUUCUGCCCCGCAUUACCUUGAAAGAAACGCAUUUGCCCCCGCACCUGCCCAACCCCAUCAUGUGACCCUUUUGUGCCUCAGGGGAACAUGACUUCUUAGUCUAAAAUCCAUGGUGCUAAACGAAGAUUGAGUGGAGCUGCGUAUGCUGUUCCACGCGGGCAUGAAUAAGCUUCACGGGCAUCUUUAUGUCUUAGUUAUAUUAUUGAAACUCAAUUCUCAGAGAUUGUUAGUCUCCAUAUACCAUUGUUGUGGUUCACCUCUCAGAGAUUGUUAGUCUCAGACUCAGUAUACAAAUUCUUGUGCUUCUGUCUCUUUACCCUAUUUAUCUUGUGUUUCUUUACCACCUGUCACAUCCUUGAUCUUUCAAGUCAUCUCUUUUUAAUGUAUAAUUUGCAUGUUUUUCCUAUAUUGGUUGGUUUAGGAUUUGAGGUUUUUCUUUAGCAGACGAACUUUGAAGUUUCAGAUUUUUUUCAAACCUUUAGGUUAAUCUGUCAAUGUUAGUAGUUUCUUAUGGUGUUUGCUAAGAUGGAUUUGGUAGAAGGAAGAAAAGGUGAUUUUUUUUUUUCGUGUUCGGUAAGAUGAUGCUCCUGUUUUGCACCAUCAUGAUUUUUGAGGUAGAGUUUGCACUAUCAAAUUUUAGACUUGAAACCUAAGUUGAAUCAACUUGGCCUAAGCUUGCCUAAGUCUUGGUUUAGCUUGACGCUUCUACAAUAACUUGUAUGGUCUGUCUAAUUAUUUUCCUCUGCAUAUCUAGGAUUCUUCUUUUGUUUCCUUUUGGAUUGGUAAAAAGGCCAUUACAUUGUACCCUGCUUAAAGUGAACACCAUGGAGCUUGCAUGAGUUCUUAGUCAAUGUUAUUUCGUAUGUUGGGGUAGAUCAAACAUUGUCCUUUAGAUAUAACCAUGAGCACUAUUUUUCCUCUUAAGUGUGCGAACCUUGAGCACAUACAGUCCAACUAAUGGUUGAAUUUAAUCUCCUAUAGUCGACACACAAUCUCCAGGUAUUGUCUUUAUUUUUCACAAGGGGGGCAAAAAAGAAUGACUAGGUACCACAAUUUGAGAGCUUAACAUGUCAUCAAUAAUACCUUCGAUAGCAUCCUUUUGAUUAAAGGAAUACAUGUAAGGCCCCUUAAAUUGAAAGGUUGAGCUCCGGUAAAGGAAUGGUAUGAUCACAAGGUUUGUUAGGAGGUAAGUCCUUUGGUUCAUCAAAAACAUCCUGAACAAACUGUGACAAGACUGUUAUCUUGUUAGGAAUUGUCUGAUGAUCCCUAUCUGCAUGGUGGCUACUCAUGGUGCAAACAACAAUUAUCCCACUAAAGUGCUGUUUGUCGAACAAUUUAAGCAACUUUUCACCUUCAGUAGGGAAAAGUUUGUGCUCUUCCUGGUGACCAAUCACGGGCAUCACCCUUUCUUCCCUGAAGAAUGACAUGUGUGGUCUAGUACUCAAGAGUGUGUGCUCCUUCUGGUGACCAAACAAGUUGAUCAAUCUUUCUUCCCUGAAGAAUGACACUGUCUGAUCUAGUACCCAGUUUUAACUAGAGAAAACACAUCUAUCCAGUACACACCUAGCACCAAAUCACAACCUCCAACUUGCAACAGUCUAAUGUCAAAACAGAAUGACACUUCCUGCAUUUGCCACAGAAAAUUUGGAAAAUAAUGGUGUAUGAUCUGUCCAUUAGCUUCAUCCUAGUAUAACAAGGAAUUAUAGAGAGUCUUAGAGCCUUGAUCACCUGAGGAGUCGCAAAGCUGUGAGUUGAACCACUGUCAAUCAGAACAAUUAGGGGCAUCUUCUUUGCAUAAUCCAAAAUUGUGAUAGUGGAACAUGAGGUGGUCACCCCCAUUGCCACACAUAGAUACCUGACCCUCUUCUUGUUUUCUUUAUUAGUGUUUUCAACCGUCCUAUCGCUGCUUUCUCGCCAUGGCCUGUACCUCAGCUCCUUGUUCCAAGUAAGAGCAUGAAGUGUUUUAGGUUUGCAUUGAUGGGCAAAAAAAUAAGUUUCAUGGCACCUGUAAUAGAGAUUCCUUUCUUUGAGGGCUUCAUUGGUGGGGUUUGGUCGGUCUAGUUCUAGGAACAAAGGUUCCGUUGGUCUGGUUUUGCUUAGGUGUUAUUGAUAAAGAACAAUGGGUCUGUUUGAUUGAUGUUGGUUAGAGGCUCCUUGCUCAAUGUCCCUGGAUGAAGUGGCUUGAUUGUUUGGGUACUGGGAUAUUUUGGGAGUUGUAGCCCUGUGGAGGGCUUUGAAAGAGGCUUGAUAUGAUUUUGCUCUUUCAUAAGAGGCUUCAUAGUGGCUAUCUUGUUAUUGACCAAGGGAUCUUUGCAAUUAUUUUUUGAUGUGCUCAAGAAAUGAAUUUCAUCAGAUUUUAUGUUCUUAAGAUCUUAUGAUUUCCUUACAAAUGGAUGUUAUGCCUUAUAAUCUAGAUAUUAUUGCCGAAGUCCUCUGUUUCAGACUGUAUCAAAUUUUCAUGGAAUUACUCUAGUUUCAAGAAUUUUAAUUCACACUGAUAUUUGUCUUAACAGGGAGCGUGGACUACAAUUGGUGUGGGACAUUCGUUAACGGGAAUAGUUUUUAGUAAUUUGUGCUUAUUUAUUAACCUUUUGGCUAAGAUCCAAGUGUAAUAUGUAUACCGACGAUCUACUAACAAGUUUCCUAAAUGUAUUGGAAUUUGGAAGGAACUGGAUUUUGAUGUCAUUACGAAUAUGUUUUAGUUUUGUGGUCGUUAGGGGUAUCCUGUUUAAACACUAAUCUUUGAAUAGCAAGACAGUUACUCGGUGUUUAAAUGCUCUCCUAGGACCAUAGAUCUCAACUUUCAAAAAUGUUGUUUGAAGUUGAAAGUUCCAGUGUAUCAUAAAGUGGGAUCUGGAAAGGGUAAAGUGUAUGCAGUCCAUACCACUAGACUCUUGAUUUAUGACAGAUAAUAGUAUAAUAAAUAAACAAAA